AACGGUCUAUACCUGCGGUACCUGCGGAAGGAUCAUUAAAGAGUGAUGCCACCCUUCAAAGGGCUGGUAGUAAACUCCAACCCCCUAUGUUUUUAUUUACCUUUUUGUUGCUUAGGCGGUUCGUAAAGCUUUUUUUUUUUUAAAAAAAAAUGGCUUUCCAUUGGCUUUUUUCUUAGGCUGAUGAGUUUUAACCGCCAAAGGACUUAAAAACUCUUUGAAAUUUAUUGUCUGAGAUUUUUU
rnacentral:misc_RNA from 1 species